rnacentral:lncRNA from 1 species
GUCUUUUCAGCUCCAUCUUAAAGCUAGAAUCCGAGAAGACGUGAACAAUUCAACAGCUUUGAAGAUUUUUCCGCCUUCUGGUUUUGCCUCAGGAAUGAGAAGAGCUUAACAGAAGUGGAAAAUUAAGAUUUCUGUUGUACACGAUAAAGAUAAACUCAACUUCCCAUAGAAUUCAAGUAAUUGUCAGCUGGCGUUCUUUAUCUGUGGCGGAGGGAAGCAGAAUUGUGGACCUGACUCUUAAGGAAGAUAACCGGUUGAGCGCAGGUUCCUGAAAUGUAUUAAUGGACGUUUUCGUUUCUAAAGGAGUCAGGGGAGCUGGAUCUGAAAUUUGGAUGUUCUUUUACUAUCUACAGAAAAGAUACAAGCUGUCCUGAUGUGACCGGAUGAGUCCGCCUGGUCUCAUUUCCCUUCCUAAGCUCAAGGUCUAUGAAAUCAGCAAUUAAAAAGAGCUCCUGGUUGUUAAGACCUGAUCCUGGGCUCUGUGGAAUCAAUCUCCCAACAGCCUCCUUCCUCGCCUGCCUGCUCUCAUCCCCCCUAUCUCAUCCUGGGCUCCUCCAGCCACCCAAUAAAUGUUCACUGAGCAUCUACUAAUGCUGGCCCUGAGGGUGGUAAAUGCAUCAGUCUGUGCUGGUAACCCAACCGCCCAAGAUUUGGUGUUUAAACUUAGUUUGAGAUGACCGUGAUAUUUUAUUGCUCCUGAUUUUCUUCUGCUGGUCUCACCUGGGCUGGCUCAUAAGUGGCUCCAUUCAGCGAGAGGGCCGCCUGGGCAGGAGUCUCGAGGUGGCCUCACUUGAACACGUGGCUGAAGCGGGUGCUGGUGGGGUGCCCUAUCCUCCUCCGGUGGCUUAGGUGAGACUGGCUUCCUUAGAGGGCGGUAUUCCAAACGAUUAAAGUGGAAACCAGAAGAACUCACUCAGGGUCUCAGAGACCACCUGGUGUCACUUCUGUGGCAUCUCAUUGGUCAAGUCUGAGGCCAGCCCAGAUUCAAGGGAAGGGAGGAGGGUCCUUGUGUGGGAGGGAGGAGUGACAAGGUCCUGCUACACAGGGACCUGCACACCAGGACAAGAGGAAUGUGGGGCCGCGUCUGCCUCAUGUGGCUCGGGAUCUGGCAACAGCAGCUGGGUGACAGUUGGGCUUGCUGCGCCGCAUGGUGCCACGUGCCUCACGAGCGCAAGGGUUGCUCAAUAACCUCACCCACGGCAGGAGCCCUGUUUUAAUAUGGAGUGACAGAUGCACAAAGAGGCUAAAUAACUGGGCGUAGGAGAGACAGGCACUGAAAACCUGAGACAGAAGGAAAAAGAAAAACCAACAAAACUCCACACCCAUUAUUCCCCGCAGGCCAGGAGCGCUGCCUGCUUAAUUUCACAAGCCACAUGCUGGCUGUAGGUGGCAGAGAAGGAAGAGCACACCGUGCCAUCAGGGCAGAGGUCACUGGGUGACUUCGGCUCUGACACAGAUGUGGGAGGCCUCUCCAUGGAAGGGAUGGAAGGGAUGCUCCGUCUCAUCUCAAGGACAAAGGACAAAGGGCUGGCGUGGAGCUCAAGGGGACAGCACUUGCCUGGCAUGUGGGAGGCCCUGGGUUCCAGCCCCUGUACUGUGAAAAAAAGGAUAAAAGACAGCCGGGGACCGGGCAAGGACAGGGUCCCAGUGUCAAGGCGCUGAGAGGUGGAAUUUUCUCUAGAAUCGUCAUUGUCAGUAUGAAGGGAGAGAGAGUCGCCGCUCUGGGCAGCAGAGGGACGUUCCUCAGGCCUUCACCUGUCCUGGGACAAUCACUCACAGCUUUGGAAAAUGAGCUUUGUAGUUCAAAACUCCAGGAAUGAAAUUAGAAAGGCCAGUGUCAAAUGGGAAACCACAGUGUCUCCGUCAGCACGUCCCUGUGCAUUCGGCCGUGCACCUGCGAUCCGGUGGUAGUAGGAACAAAUGUGACUCCAUUUUGUUUUAUGACUUCAUCCUGUAAAACAACCAUGCCAAGUAGAAGAGUCAUGACUGGAGCAAGGUGUUCUCUUCCUUUUGCUAUAGAAACAUUUAAGAAUACGGAACUACUUAAUGGGGUAUUGUUUCUGUAACUAGGGUAACAGGGCUCUGUUUCUGUAACUGGGGUGACUGGGCUAACUGUGAUUGGUUAGGCUUCCCUCCGCUUGACUGCACUGUCUUGCUUCUGUAACCUGGCUUGCUUGCAUUGGCUAGACCCCCUGAACAUCCCUUUUGCGGUUUUCAGGCUUAUAAGGAGUGCCCUUGCAAUUGUUCGGGGCUGAUCAGGGGAACAACUUU